CACAUUUUUCAUUAUUUUUUUUAAAAUACCAAUUAAUAAAAUUAAAUAUGUUAAAUGCAAAAAUAUAUGAUGAAAUAAACACUUAAAAUAUAAAAACAUUUUAAAAAUAUUUCUAAAAUAUUAAUUAAUAUAAAAUUGAUAAAACUAUUCAAAUGAAUUACAUGAAACAAUUGCAUGAUGUUUUAAAUUUUCAAAAAUGCUGAGUUACUUGAAAGCGCUUAUUUGAUGAGACUGCCUGGUCACAAAUAUUACAAAAUAGUGUUUUACCAUCGGUUUUAAAACCUGUACUAAAAAACUCUUCGACAUACUGUCGAAGUUUUGCAAAGGUAUUUUGUAUUUUUGGCAUUUUAUAAUUGAAUGUAAUUCAUUAUAAUGAAUUUUACAUAAUUUACAGUUUGCAAAUAACACGGCAACGUAUCACUACACACGGUAUACGACGAUGACUGUCAAAACACAAACUAACUUUCAGCUGUAUGCCUGUAUGCUUUUAUCCAGUAAGCGUACGAAUAUAUGACAGUAUGAUAAGAUAAAAUUACAUUUGGGUAUUUUUGUACGGCGAUGAAAUGAAUUGUAACGAAAUAUAAUAUAAAACAUGCACUUUUGGUGUUUUUGUAGUCGAAAUGUAUACAAAUAUUAAUUUUGUUCAAAAUAUGCAAAAAUAUGCAUUUUAUCCAAAAUAUGCAAACAUAUGACAAAUAAAAAUACCACCAUUUACCUCAGCAAGAGCUAAUUCGUGUACAUUACUUACAAAAUAAGUAAUCAGAAGUUGCAAAAAAAAACAUACCAAUGCAUAUAAAUCCUAGCCCUAAUGAUUAUAUUGAAAAACUAUAAUUUUAAAAUUCAAACCGAUAUUUUUUUACUAUUACAACUUUUCUACUUUUCCAUUCAACUUCAAGGGUGGUUUUUAAUAAAAAACGUUGUCUUAUUGGUGCAAUAAAGAAGUUUAUUUUUAUUUUCUUUGUAGAUUUAUAAAUAAUGGGGAAAAUCCACGAAAAGGUAAGGGUCUAGUUUUCAUAUGUUUUAGACCAAUAAACGAUGGUAAAUUAGACAUAGUUCCCGAUGUCUUGUUUCCCGAGUUUUAUAUAAUUAUUUGAAAUGUUCAAGUUUUAGAUUUUGUGAGCAGCGAUGAAUAGAUUGUAUUGGUUUUACUAAAAUGUUUUUUUUUUUUGUAUUUGUAAUCUGUUAACAACUUUACUGCAAGAAAUCUUGCUCCAAACUUCAAGUGUGAAUAAGACUCUAUGGUUGGUGCAGGAGCUCAAAUAUGAUGAAGGAUAUGGAAGAUCUUCCUCAAUGAACUGUAGUUAUAUAGUAUAUUGUUUUUUUUUUUUAUACAAAUUAGAAGUUUUAAUGCAAAUUUUAAAAAUUAUUACGAAACUAAAAAUUUUAAAUGUUUAAUUGUAUUAGUAGGUACCAAAAUAUUCGUAGUUUAUUAUUCUUCGAG